rnacentral:lncRNA from 1 species
AUUCAUCUUGGGAAGAUCAUGAAGGAUGUCCACAACUGCAGACAUUGUGGGGAUUCACUUUUCUGGGGGAAAUGCAUUCUGUGUUUGUGCCACUAAUCCUAUCUGACCAGAAAGCAGGUGAAAGAUGGUACAUGGCAUAUUCUGGCUACAGAUCAGAGAUACAUCCAAUGGUACUCUUGGACUACAUAGCCUUUAGUCCGGCGUUGAUACAGAUAAGCAGACUUGUUAGGGAUUUUUGGGUAGACGUGCAGCUUGAAAGGUCUAGGAUGUUCAGUUCAGGUGCACAGUCAGUUUGGUAUGAAGACAGUUCUCAUUUCUGAUCCUCACUUAUGUCGUGCUGCAAAGCAACCAGGGUGGAACCUUUGUGCAGACAGGGGAAUGUUCCACUUGUUGUUCCUCCCAGGGAAUGUUUGGAAAAUGGAAUCUACCUACUUUAUGGCUGCUGGUGUGAAUUUAACCCAGCUCCAGUGAUGCAGCUGCGUUGUUGUAUAGUCCUUUGAAAGCCUCUCAGUGGAGUCAUGGCAAAUGUCUGAACACUGUAUGGCCCAUGCAGGUUAUGAACAUGCAGUUGUCCAAUGCAGCAUCUGUACAGCACCUUCAAUAGCUAUUUGUGUAACCUAAAGUCCUGAUCUUCACACACCAGAAGAUAAUUAUAGGUAAGAAUUUACAUUCCACGCAAGAUAUUUGGAGUUGAAACUUGCAUGAUCUGAUUUUAAUACCCACUUCCCUUUUUUUUUUUUUUUUUUUUCUGUAGAAUGUACCUGGACACCACACAUCUUGGUUGUGCAGCCCUACACUUGAGAAUGCCUGAAAGGAGACUGUAUUUCAGAGAUGAGGAGCAGAGCCGUCAGCAAGAGGAUCUCCUGUUCCGCACAGCUGGGGAAAGAAGGAAGCAAGUCACCAAGUCCUGGUGUAAAUUUCUGAACAAAUGCUUCAGAGAAGGUAAAUUGAGCUCAACAAAACAUUAGAUUAGGCUCAUUAGUAAUUAAAAACAACAACAACUGCAGUCUAAUGAAAAAUACUGGAGAUCUGUAAAACUUCGGCAUUAAAAUGUAUAGAUGCUGACCCUCUUUAUAUUCAUAGAGAAUGCUCUUUACUUAGCUAUAAAGGUUUAAUGUAACUUAGCAGAUCUGAGUUACUUCAGGAGAGCUUUAAUGCUUGGCAGGUCUCUACAUUUUAUUUAUGAUAUCAAAGCUGCAACUCAGAUUUUUACUCAGUGGAAGACAUAAAAGAGAUUC